rnacentral:lncRNA from 1 species
CUGGGAAAUGCCUGUGUCUUCGCUGUUUUGUUUGUAAAGGGCUGUCUUGAGUCAUCUAACGGUUGGAGUUUUCUCCUGAAGGAGGAAGUAGGCUUUAGACAAAGCGAGGAUUGAUUUGUGUUAUGCUCUUGCUUCAGAAAGGAAUUAGAAAUUAUUUUCUUCUCAGGGAGGAAUGAUUUGGCUCACAGUGAAAUGUACACCACAGAUAAGAAAAAUAGAAGUUAACUGUAAAACAGCCUCAGGCGGGUUCUUCAGGAGGUAUCUAGAAGAGGGCAUUGUUCUCACAGGAGAUGACAGCUCCAUGUGUGUGAUUGCCCCGAGGACCUUCCAGUGGGACAAGAUGUAGAGGUGGAAGACAGGGAUACUGAAGAUUCUGACCUUGUGUAGGCCUAGGCUAAUGUGUGUUUGUGUCUUAGUUUUUAACACAAAGUUUAACAAGUAAAAAAAAAAAAUUUUAAAUCUAAAAAGCUUAUAAAAUAAAUAUACAAAGGAAGAACGU